UGUAUUCACUACUGUAAGUUGCUCUGGAUAAGAGUGUCUGCUAAAUGACUCAAA
rfam:Salmo salar isolate Sally breed double haploid chromosome ssa29, whole genome shotgun sequence.